rnacentral:lncRNA from 1 species
UGUACUAUAAACGAAACGAGUCCAAAACCAAAAUGACAAAAACAAAUGAACACAAAUAUUAUAUGAAAAAAGCUAUACCAAAAACAAAAAAAAAAAACAAAGCAAAGAACGUUUAUGUACAAUGCAUACUUUUUUCCACUUUAUAUACUAUGUACCAGCAAAAGCAUACAUAUAUGUAUAACUAACUAUUUUUAACUCAAUUUGAAAAGCAUAUGGGAAAAACAGAAGCAUAAUUUUUAAAGAAUAUUAAUAUUUCUCGUUACUUGUGUUGUUUUAUUCGUUUUGUAUUCAACAAGUAUGUACAUACACAAGCCUUACCCACACACUCACACACAUACAGAGACAGACAAACAAAAAACAAAAAACUCUCAAAAUAUCUAAAGAAAAAAUAUGAAAAAAGAAAAUAUUUCAGCAGAAUUAAAGUAAACCUAAAACAUGAGACAGGGCGAAUAUUUUAUACAACAUAAAUUACUUCUAAGAGAUUCGACAGCUUUCAUUUUAUUUUUAAAAUGUAUUUUUUAUUAAUUUGUGUUGAUCGAUUACAUUUCAAGUGCCAAAUCAAUGCACAAUAACCGUGUAGCCACCAGACAGGAAAGCAAAACAGAUGAGAACCGAUAGAAUCCGAUCAGCACACUUUCAAGCAUUCUCGUUGAAAAAAAAAAAACAAAUCUUUCUGGACCAACUACUUAAGAUCUAUAGAGCCCGGACUAAAUAUUAUGUUUACGUACCAUUUGCACCUAUACCCGCACUUAUACUCAUAUGAUUUCAAUCAUUCCAAAAUUUGUUAGAGAAUUGAAGCAGAACGAUUUGUACAUACGCAACUACUGAAACCAAUCAAGCAACCAACCAACAAACAGGCAAACAAACAGACAGACAUGGAUAAUUGAAUACUAUAUAGCAUAUAGUAUACACAAAUACAUACAGAUAUAUUUUUAUGAAAGUCAACAACACCAGAACAUGCAAUUGAGAUGAAAGAGCAAAACGUAAAGAAAGAGAAAAAGAAAAAGAAUAACAUAUCCUAAGACAACACAGCUUAAAGUUGAAAAAAAUAUAUAAAAAAAUAAAAUCGAAUCGAAUCGAACAAAUCGAGACAGAAGCUCCGAUAACGAUAUGUUCAAUUAGCGAUUACUGAUUACCGAUUAUAAAUGAGAUUAUGACAGCACAGGCUGGAGGGAGAAACUGGGUCACAUGAAAAUUUGAAACUCAUCUUCAGAAUCGGUUCUCAGUGAUAGCUGACUGACUGUCCGGUGUCACGCGUACUACCACAACAACUACAAAAAAACUACUACUACUUAUACUAACGUACUACAAUUUAUGACAACAGGUAAAAUGCAAUCCAAUAACUGCAGGCUGAAACAGUUUGCUCUUCCACCUUUCGGUUCUUUCGGUACCACCAAGUUAAGAUAACUGUUAUGGGAAUAUGAUAGUUUAUAAUAGAUUUUCUACAGUUCCAAUUUGAAGUGAAUAAAAAACAAAACAAAAAACUAUAGUUAAAGAAAUACGGAAAUAUCGUUAAAUAUAUACAUAAUGAUGAAAGAAACAAAAUAGAAAACAAAACAGAAAACGAAAGAAAACCAAAAACGAAAAGCUUCCGUUACCAAAACGUAUGCAUUUUACUAAUACAUAUAUUAUUUAUAUACCCGUCUCGUACCUUUUUGAUCUAUCGAACGAAAAAUAAAAGAAAACAUAACGUAGGAAUAGGCAGGGAAGGGAACAUUUACGAGUACACUCUACACACUGUCUAUGCUCACUGCAACUGUAUUUGUAAUAACUGUAAACGGAAUGAAAAAUCAGAGAAACAGAAUUAUGUAGAAUCAGAUCGAAGAAGCAGCACCUUAAGAAUCCACAAUAAGACACAGCAAUAAGAGGAACAGCAAUAGCAGAGAAUACAAACAUUCCAAUGCCGAAACCCUUAAAAAUAACUGAUGAAAAAAGCCAAGCAUAAAUAAGAGUAGUAAAAUAAAGCAAAAAAACAAAAAACAAAUACCAGAUAUUUGUUUGCAUUAGAUGAUUAUUUCAUUAGUUUAUUGAUUGAUUGAUUGCUUGAUUUCCCAGCUGAAUAUAACGUACCUAAGUUUUUAUUUAUUUCAUAAGACUGAAUUACUGGAAUAUGAUUUGAUUUAAAAUGUGUACAUUGUAUAUACAUAAAUAUGUAAUUAAGGGGUAAUAGCGAAACUUUACAACUUUUAAUAAUGGAGCAACCAAAUUUUUGAAAUUAUUCUGUACUUAUUUAUCAAAAAAGCGAAAUAGCGAAACAAAAAUAAGAUAAAACAUCUCGAAGGAAGCGCGAAAACAAAAAAACGGUUGAACUCUCGUCGAGCGAAAGAAGUUAAAAUACAACUAUUAAUAUAUUAUAUAUACGGGAAAGUCCCAAAAUGAUGAUGAUGAUGAUGAAG